AUUCUAAUGCAAUUAGUUUGUAACGAUAAUUUUCAUUGGACGUUGAUAAAUAUUUUGAGGGGUUAGAUUCCACGUUCUACCAGUCCGUAACUAAGAAAGCCACCAUUUUGAAUUCCGAUUUUUUUUGGAUAUGUAAUUUCUCAAAAAAUUAACAAGAUAUUCUCAUUUUGAGCCUCAAAAUCUUCUUUUUGUCUAUAUUGAAACCAUUAUGAAGCGUACAAAAAGUAAAAAUACGUUUAGAAUUCAUGUUUCACACCCAGAUUAAACACAUGACGUCACACUGUUAAGAUGCUAAAAACAAUGCGACAGUUUCGCGGACUUUUUCAUUAAUGCCAUUUUUAAGCCAAAAAAUAACAUUUAUUUUAAGAUGCGGCAUUAGAAUGGAGAUAACUGUAUUGUAUUUUAAGCUUGGCCUUCGUAAAACUUGAUUUUACUGUCGCAAAUAUCCGUUUACCUAUCUCCGCUCCGCGUCGCUAGGUAAACUCAAUUUGCGACAGUAAAAUCUACGUUUUACGAAGGCCAAGCUUAAAAUACAAUACAGUUAUCUCCUAAACAUA
rnacentral:lncRNA from 1 species